UUAGAUUCUUAUGUGCUUGACAUUUUAAAUUGAGAUGUAUGCUUCAGUACCUCUUUCCAGACGUAAAAACUCUAUUUUGUAAUGGCUUUAAUAGUGCUAUUUGAGUAUCUAAUUCUUGGACCAGAUGUUAUCAAUAGUUCAAAUGGGACGAAAUUGCUUGGUUGUGGUCGGUUUUAUACUCUAUAUAGGAGCUAUAAGCUUUAUUUUCUCCCUUUCAUAUUCACUUAUGAUAUAAUUAGCUUAAGUACGCUUCUGGGCACUUAAAUACCAUUACAUUGCCCGCGUCCCUCCCUCUUAAAUACUAGAUGUUGUCCCCUGAUUUUCAUCUCUAUUGUCACUUCCUAGCUUUCCUCGACCCCACAUGAUGUAUACAUUUUUAAUAUAAAUUUCACUAAUUGUGAAUCGGAAGAGAAUUCUUUCAUAUGUGUUCUUCAAGUCUAGCAGUACUUUGUGUUCUCUUUCCCUUUGAAUAUAAAUUUCACUAAAUAUGAACCGAUCCUUUUCUUUGCUUGGUUGUGCACGAGCAGACUAUUCUACUCUCAUCGAGACCACUGGCUUCGUUUCCUUGAUUUGCAGGUGUAGCUGGCAGCAUCUUCGUGUUCUCUGAUGUUGUGCUCACGGAAAGACCAUUGGUGAAGCAAGGAGGGAUGUGCUCCUUUUCGACACAAGAUGUAGCUGGCAGCAUCUUUGCAGUCUCUUAUGUUGUGUUCACAUUCCCAGGAAGGACCAUUCGUGAAGCAAGGAGGGAUGUUCUUAUUUUCGACACAAGGUGGACUACUGAUUCGUAUCCUAUGCUUCCUUUGUAGAUACAUUUGAUUACCGAAGGUUUGGGUGAUCUGGCCAUUUGGUUCUUCUGCAACUAAAUGGGCUAAAUGGUAAGCUUCAGUAUUAGUCUCUGUUUCAUUCUCAUUUUUCUCCCACGCUGCACAAGUUCAUUUUCGGGGUUCAAAUUAUUUUAGAAUCUGUUCCAUAAUGUGUUUGGAACUCUAGGUGAUCCCAUAUAUGUACAGAUCAGCAUGUGACAACAUUCUGCGCCUAUUUUUUUAUUUUGUGGGGUCUAAUCAUUUGAUAAGACCUUGUUUGUCA